rnacentral:rRNA from 1 species
AGUGAGCGCUGGCGGUAGGCCUAACACAUGCAAGUCGAACGGCAGCACAGUAAGAGCUUGCUCUUACGGGUGGCGAGUGGCGGACGGGUGAGGAAUACAUCGGAAUCUACUUUUUCGUGGGGGAUAACGUAGGGAAACUUACGCUAAUACCGCAUACGACCUACGGGUGAAAGCAGGGGAUCUUCGGACCUUGCGCGAUUGAAUGAGCCGAUGUCGGAUUAGCUAGUUGGCGGGGUAAAGGCCCACCAAGGCGACGAUCCGUAGCUGGUCUGAGAGGAUGAUCAGCCACACUGGAACUGAGACACGGUCCAGACUCCUACGGGAGGCAGCAGUGGGGAAUAUUGGACAAUGGGCGCAAGCCUGAUCCAGCCAUACCGCGUGGGUGAAGAAGGCCUUCGGGUUGUAAAGCCCUUUUGUUGGGAAAUAAAAGCAGCAGGUUAAUACCCCGCUGUUCUGACGGUACCCAAAGAAUAAGCACCGGCUAACUUCGUG